rnacentral:rRNA from 1 species
AGAGUUUGAUCCUGGCUCAGGAUAAACGCUGGCGGCGUGCCUAACACAUGCAAGUCGAACGCCCUUAGCAAUAAGGGAGUGGCGGACGGGUGAGGAACACGUGGGUAUCUACCUUGAAGUGAGGAAUACCAGCGAGAAAUCGCUGACAAUACCGCAUACCUUCUGCAAAGAAGAAAGUCGCAAGACGCUUUGAGAUGAGC